AACGCUCGCACCCUCUGUAUUACCGCGGCUGCUGGCACAGAGUUAGCCGGUGCUUAUUCUGCGAGUAACGUCCACUAUCCUAGAGUAUUAAUCCAAGUAGCCUCCUCCUCGCUUAAAGUGCUUUACAACCAAAAGGCCUUCUUCACACACGCGGCAUGGCUGGAUCAGGGUUCCCCCCAUUGUCCAAUAUUCCCCACUGCUGCCUCCCGUAGGAGUCUGGGCCGUGUCUCAGUCCCAGUGUGGCUGGUCGUCCUCUCAGACCAGCUACGGAUCGUCGGCUUGGUAGGCCUUUACCCCACCAACUAGCUAAUCUGCCAUCGGCCGCCCCUGUAGCGGGAGGUCCUAAGAUCCCCCCCUUUCCUCCGUAGAGCGUAUGCGGUAUUAAUCCGGCUUUCGCCGGGCUAUCCCCCACUACAGGACACGUUCCGAUGUAUUACUCACCCGUUCGCCACUCGCCACCAGGGUUGCCCCCGUGCUGCCGUUCGACUUGCAUGUGUAAGGCAUGCCGCCAGCGUUCAAUCUGAGCCAGGAUCAAAC
rnacentral:rRNA from 1 species